CAAAUUAAUUCACGUUUUAUGUUUUUUAGAAACCCAAGCUGCAGCAGAAGAUGGAGGAGCUCCAGAAGGAGAACACCAAGCUGCAGCAGAAGAUAGAGGAGCUCCUGAAUCGGAAAACCGAGAGGCUGCAGGAGAUAAAGGAGCUCUUGAAUCGGAUAACCGAGUGGCUGCAGCGGUGUAAGGAGCUCCUGGAUUAGGAAGUUCCUUCACCACUCGCAGGGGUGGAUCCUUCAUAAAGAACCAGGUACCACAACCAGCUGCACCAAUCAAUGUGGCAGGAGCUGAUGAGGAUGACUGGGAGUUAAUUUUCGUUUGCUGCACCAAUCAAUGUGGCAGGAGCUGAUGAGGAUGACUGGGAGUUAAUUUUCGUUUUACAUUGAUUUUGCAGAAGCCUUCAACUGAAGGUUGCGUCUGCCCACUUUCAAUAAAUGGCUCUUUUCUGCCAGAUGUUUUCUGGCUACCUUUUGAGUAUUGUGUGUGUGUGUGUGUGUGUGUGUGUGUGUAGGCAUUAUUUGUCUAUGGAGGAAAAAAAAAAUUGUUUUGCUAGUCUGCCAUAUGAAUAAAUUCA